rnacentral:rRNA from 1 species
CAGUAGCCGCGGGAAUACAGAGGGUGCGAGCGUUAAUCGGAUUUACUGGGCGUAAAGCGCACGUAGGCGGCUUUGUAAGUUAGAGGUGAAAGCCUGGAGCUCAACUCCAGAAUUGCCUUUAAGACUGCAUCGCUUGAAUCCAGGAGAGGUGAGUGGAAUUCCGAGUGUAGAGGUGAAAUUCGUAGAUAUUCGGAAGAACACCAGUGGCGAAGGCGGCUCACUGGACUGGUAUUGACGCUGAGGUGCGAAAGCGUGGGGAGCAAACAGGAUUAGAUACCCCCGUAGUCCCUGUCUCUUAUAC